GUCGGAGUGGUGAAAUUGGCGAGCCACCUUGGUCUUAAAAACCAAGACAUUAGAAACGCUACGGGUUCGAAUCCCGUCUCCGACACCA
rnacentral:tRNA from 1 species